UACGUAGGUGGCAAGCGUUGUCCGGAUUUACUGGGCGUAAAGAGCGCGCAGGCGGUCGAUCAAGUCGCGUGUGAAAGCCCCCGGCUCAACUGGGGAGGGUCACGCGAUACUGAUCGACUCGAAGGCAGGAGAGGGUAGUGGAAUUCCCGGUGUAGUGGUGAAAUGCGUAGAUAAUCGGGAGGAACACCAGUGGCGAAGGCGACUUCCUGGCCUGUUCUUGACGCUGAGGCGCGAAAGCUAGGGUAGCAAACGGG
rnacentral:rRNA from 1 species